UUGAACCUGUGUCUCCUGCACUGGCAGGUGGAUUCUUUACCAACUGAGCCACCAGGGAAGCCCAGGAAGUUGAGGUAGCCUGCCCAAAGAACCACAACUUCACGCAGCAGAGCCAGGGAUCUACAUGCAGGUGUUUUCUGGCUGUAACACUUUUUUUUUUUUUUCCUGCUUUAAGAAAAUAGGCAUUGGGUGCCUGAGCACUUGUGUUUUGAAGCAGAUAUUUCUCCCAGGAAAACAGGUGAGCAAGAAGAAGAAGAAGAAACUUGCUCCUAUGUCUCUCCUAUCCUAGGAGGUAGACUGAAGUCUGGGGCUGACGGAAGACUCCUCUCUGCUCUCUGGUCCACUGCCGACAGCGCUGGCUACAUGAAAUGCACGUGGUCCCUUUGAAUGGAAAUCAGGCCUGCGGAGCGCAGGAGGGUGGGGGUGAUAAAAGAUGACUCAAGGGUGAGCUAGCUCCCACCCACUCUCCCACACUGCCGUUCUGAUUAGGCCUUCCUCUUUUCGAUCCCUUAAGAGAGAAAAGCACCCAUGAGCAGAGCUGCAGAUAUUAAUAAUAACUGCUAUAGAGCUUUGUUUUUGUUUGACUCAUGUUUACAUUGCUGGGGAAGAACCCACUUGUCUGGAAAGACGAAGCAGGUUGAAUCAAUUAAAAACAUGUCCAACAGUCGGGCAACUUCCCAUUUUUUGAAAGAAGUCAAGAAGAGGGGUUAGAAAAGUCACUAUUACUUGUACUGUCUGCCAGGAGGAGCUGUGUCAAGGUCACCGGGAGCCCGCCUCCCCCAGACCUCCACGUGCCCCUGGGAGGAUGCACUGUUUCUGGAUACCCAGCGUCUCCUUCCACUUCACACACACAUUCACCAUCAGGGCCCUCGGCUACAAAGAGAUGAGCCCGAGGCUGCUGCCCAGGUGCGUGAGAACCUCUGCUGGGCUCCCAAGGAGACUGGGGCACACAGACAGGCUCAUGUGACCCAGAGAUGGCCACACCCCCACACCUCUCCCCAGGAACGCCUUCAUGUCCAAACCCCUCGAGAGCAGGGGCCUGAUGAGGACCGAGCACUGAAACGCAUCUGUGCCCGCAGCGUUCUCAGCUACACAGCUGCUCUCCUCCUGGCACCCCGGCUGGCCCGUGGCACAGCACACCUGCCCCUGUCUCUCUCCCCCCGAUCUCGGUGGCCUCCCUCCAGGUCCGUGGGUGCACCUCGUCAGCCAUGGUCCUUCCUCCAGGCCUCUGGGGUCAGAGGCCAGCUUCUCAUGGAGGACUUCCCUCCCCACUCUCAAACACCUUUCUGCGCACUCCCCAGGACCCUGCUUUCUCUCUCGGCACCUCUCACGUUGCAGGCUUUCCCCGUUCGCCUGUUCUCUGUUGUCACAGUGCACUCCCUGAAGGCAGGGAUUGUUGUUGGCUGGGUUCACUGUGUCCAGCAUAGAACCUAACACGAAUUAGAUGCUCAACCAUUGCUGAAUGAAGGAAUUGCCUAUGCCGGGCAACGCGCUUGGUGCAGGCUGGGAGAAUAGGUAUGGGGAAGGAUCUGUGCCCUGGAGACCGCCUGGAGGAGGAGACCGUGUACCACAGCCCGGGGAUGUGUUCACACAAUGUCCAGACGCACACCAGGAGAUGUAGGUUCGAUCCCUGGUCCAGGAAGAUCCCACAUGCCACAGAGCCUGUGCACCAUAACUACUGAACCUGUGCUCUAGAGCCCGUGCUCCGCAACAACGGAAGCCUCUGCACCAAGAAGCCCGCACACCACAGCUAGAGAGCAGCCCCUGCCCUGUGCAACUAGGGAAGAGCCCGUGCAGCAACGAGGACCCAGCGCAGCCAACAAA